GCAGAGAACACUACUCGUACCUUUUGCAUCAUGAUUCAGCCAGUAAAAAACAUGCAAAGAGACCUCUAGUUUGUACCCCCGAAACCCGACGAGCUACUCCGAGACAGCCUAUCCAGGGCCAACCCAUCUCUGUGGCAAAAGAGUGGGAAGAUCUCCAAGUAGAGGCAAAAAACCUACCGAGUCAGGUUAUAGCUGGUUGCCCAAUAAAUGAAUAAAAGUUCAGCCCCGCACGACCCAAUUCACACUAGUUACACUGCAAAAGAUGAAGAGCCGCUAACGGGAGUUAGUCAGAAGAGGUACAGCUCCUCUGACAAAGGAUACAACCUUUAUAGAAGAUUAAAGAAUAAAAUUUAACAAGGCCACAAGUCUCAGUGGGCCUGAAAGCAGCCACCUGAACAGAAAGCGUUAAAGCUCAGACCAUAAAGCUACGCCCCUUAUAAAAUUAAACAAUCCAAAAUCCCUUCAACCACUGGGCCUCCCUAUGCACCCAUAGAAGAGAUUAUGCUGAAACGAGUAACAAGAAGAUUGAACUUCUCCUGGCAUAAGUGUAAGUCGAACCGGACAUUCCACCGACAAUUAACGAACCCAAAAACAGAGGGCACCACACUACCACCACCCAAAGUCAAGAAAACCACGUCCCACUUAAUCGUUAUCCCCACACAGGAAUGCCUACCCAAGGAAAGACUAAAAGAAAAAAAAGGAACUCGGCAAACCCAAACCCCGCCUGUUUACCAAAAACAUCGCCUCUUGCCUAUUACAAGUAUAAGAGGUCCCACCU
rnacentral:rRNA from 1 species